rnacentral:rRNA from 1 species
CCUACGGGUGGCUGCAGUGGGGGAUAUUGCACAAUGGGGGAAACCCUGAUGCAGCGACGCCGCGUGGGUGAAGAAGCGCCUCGGCGCGUAAAGCCCUGUCAGCAGGGAAGAAAAUGACGGUACCUGAAGAAGAAGCCCCGGCUAACUCGGUGCCAGCAGCCGCGGUAAUACGUAGGGGGCAAGCGUUAGCCGGAUUUACUGGGUGUAAAGGGGGCGCAGACGGCGAUGCAAGCCAGGAGUGAAAGCCCGGGGCCCAACCCCGGGACUGCGCUUGGAACUGCGUGGCUAGAGUGCAGGAGGGGCAGGCGGAAUUCCUGGUGUAGCGGUGAAAUGCGUAGAUAUCGGGAGGAACACCGGUGGCGAAGGCGGCCUGCUGGACUGCAACUGACGUUGAGGCCCGAAGGCGUGGGGAGCAAACGGGAUUAGAUACCCGAGUAGUC